UAGAGUUUGAUUAUGGCUCAGAAUAAACGCUGGCGGCGUGCCUAACACAUGCAAGUCGAGCGAGAAAGUUCCUUCGGGAAUGAGUAAAGCGGCGAACGGGUGAGCAACGCGUGAGAAUCUGCCCUUCAGUGAAGAAUACCGUCGAGAAAUUGACGUUAAUGCUGCAUACGUCCCUUCGGGGAGAAAAGUGGCCUCUUUGCUACUGCUGAAGGAUGAGCUUGCGUACUAUUAGCUAGUUGGUGGGGUAAAGGCCUACCAAGGCGAUGAUGGUUAACCGGCCUGAGAGGGUGUUCGGUCACACUGGAACUGAGAUACGGUCCAGACUCCUACGGGAGGCAGCAGUGAGGAAUAUUGCGCAAUGGGCGAAAGCCUGACGCAGCGACGCCGCGUGGAGGAUGAAGGUCUUCGGAUUGUAAACUUCUGUUAAGUGGGAAGAAAAAGCUGUUUUUAAUAGAGGCAGCUAAUGACGGUACCAUUAAAGAAAGCACCGGCUAAACUCGUGCCAGCAGCCGCGGUAAUACGAGUGGUGCAAGCGUUAUUCGGAAUCAUUGGGCGUACAGGGUGUGUAGGCGGUAUGUUAAGUCUGUUGUUAAAGCCUCCGACCUAACCGGAGACAGGCAAUGGAAACUGGCGUACUAGAGGGUGGAAGAGAGAAGCGGAAUUCUCGGUGUAGCGGUAAAAUGCGUAGAUAUCGAGAGGAACACCGAUGGCGAAGGCAGCUUCUUGGUCCAUUCCUGACGCUGAAACACGAAAGCGUGGGUAGCAAACAGGAUUAGAUACCCUGGUAGUCCACGCUGUAAACGAUGAUCACUAGACGUUGGUUUUGUUUUACAGAAUCAGUGUCGCAGCUAACGCGUUAAGUGAUCCGCCUGGGGAGUACGGUCGCAAGAUUAAAACUCAAAGGAAUUGACGGGGGUCCGCACAAGCGGUGGAACAUGUGGUUUAAUUCGACUCUACGCGAGGAACCUUACCUAGGUUUGACAUGUGCCUGACAGUCGUAGAAACACGAUCUUCUGGGCUUCGGUCUAGACAGGUACACAGGUGCUGCAUGGCUGUCGUCAGCUCGUGUCGUGAGAUGUUUGGUUAAGUCCUCUAACGAGCGCAACUCUUACUAUCAGUUGCUACUGCGAAAGCAGAGCUACUCUGAUGGAACUGCCUGGGAAACCAGGAGGAAGGUGGGAAUGACGUUAAGUCAGCAUGGUCCUUAUGCCUAGGGCUACACACGUGUUACAAUGGCCAGUACAAAGGGCUGCGAACCUGCAAGGGGGAGCUAAUCUCAAAAAACUGGUCUAAGUUCAGAUUGCGGUCUGCAACUCGACCGCAUGAAGUUGAAAUCGCUAGUAAUCGCGUAUCAGCAACGGCGCGGUGAAUACGUUCUCGGACCUUGUACACACCGCCCGUCACACCACGAAAGCUGUUUGUACCCAAAACCGUCUUAGCUAACCCGAAAGGGAGGCGGGCGACUAAGGUAUGGGGAGUGAUUGGGGUGAAGUCGUAACGAGGUAGCUGUAGGAGAACCUGCGGCUGGAUCACCUCCUUUCUG
rnacentral:rRNA from 1 species